GUUGUCAUGGCUAUUUUUUAACCCAAAUUUGAGGAUGUAGGUCGAGCUGAACUAAAGGCAUUUACAUCAAAUUAUAGGAAUUUGUUGGUCAAGCACCUGCUGUACAUAGAACAACAAUCCAUUACAGCUUUGAUUAUGCCGAGCAGGUCUUUUACCCAUACUAGGCACAGCAAGAAGGCCCUGCUUUGAAGUGUUCUGUAAAUCAUAUGGUUCACAGAUAUUUAUCUCAGUGAUAAGGGUUUAGCUGUUAUGUGGCCAAUGGUGUGGUACCUCAUUUUCAACAUCAUCCAUAUAGAGAAGACUUUGCAUACCUGCACAUUGACAACUGUGUUGGGCGGAAUAAAAACAAUGCAGUCAUUGGGGUCUGAUGUAUUCUGAAGGGAGAAAAACAGCAUUUACUAAAAUGGAAGCAGGUGACAUAAAGUUCAGUCCUGUCAGAGAUUUGGUCUGUGGGAGACCAAAUGGAGGCAGCACACAUCUUUUGUGGAUUGAUGACCUUGGCAAACUGGUUAUAUUCUUUGACUGGUUGGAGUACACCAAGAGACCCCUGAAGUCCAUUCCAAACUUGAGGAAAUAUCAUCACUUCAGAACUUCAGCUGACAACCCAGUGAGUGAAUUCAUGAGAGAGCAUGCCAAGGACAGUGAGAUUGAAGUUAAAAUUGACAAGCCCACAACAAUGGCUUUUCCAUGGAGAGUACCCUGAACCAUCCAACUAAAAGGACUUGAUGCAAAAAGGCUCUGAUACCUUAAAUAAGUGAAAAGAACUUUUCAGUAUACUGAUAUGUGAUCUUUAUAAACUUAAAUCAAUUUUUGUUUGACAAUUAUUUUUCAAUAGAAACUUGUUUAUGUGAAAUAAGGCUACCAGUGAUUUUGAGUGAUAAACUGUGGUUUUAGCAAAUGAGUGAUGGAAGGGUGCUGCACCCAGUCUUUUGUUGGUAGAACUCUUCUGCCAUAAUGGAGACCACUUUAUGAUUAUUAAUUAUUAAUACAAACUUAAAAAAAUCUGGCAGUUGAAGCCUAUAAAUGCUUGAAUUGAAGACAUUUAUAAUACUGUUUGUCAAAAUUAGUUAAUUCACAGCCUGAUAAAAUGUACCUUAGCAACUUUUACCUAUGAAUAAGCAUCGAGAAUAUCAUUUGUCAUGUACUAUGUGGCCAAUUGCAUACUUCUUGAAACUACAUAAUGACUUGUACAUGCUAAGUAGUUAGUAUGUUAAGAAAUUGUUUUCAUUUUGUAAAUGUGCCCAUUUAUUAACUGAUCUUAUUAUAUAAUAGUGUAAAUUAUGCAGUAUUGUUAUGUUUAUUAAAUUAAGAGUAUAUUAACCACCAUUUCAUGUUUUAUGAGCUAUAAAUGACUAUACAAAAAUCACAUUUGAGGUUAAGUUGGUGUGAUACUGAUCAUGUUUGUGGCCUGUUGCCAUGGUAACCAGGAUAAAAAACAAACCCUUUAAGACCAUUCAAAGAAGAUAAAUAAUAGUUAAUUACAGUGGUAACAUACUUUAACCUCUACAUAUACAUUGUACAUUUAUUAUUUGCAAGUUCCAGCCUAAUGUCAAUUUAUUGUGAAAAAUUUCCAAUAAACUACAGCAAAUAGUUUUUAUUUAUUCUGACAUUUGUCAAAUACAUACACCAGGUACAGUAAGGUUUGAGGAUAUCAAUUAACAAAUCAAUUAUUACCGAAUGCUUCAAAUGACUUUUAUUGUAUAUUUAAAUGCGAAUUUAACCCCAAAACGCCUUUUUUCAAUAACGGUUGCCAUUGUAACCAAUUAAUUUUCAUUUAUUUUCUCAAUAAUAAUUGAGAAUGUUUUUGAAAAUAUGUUGUUGUUAUAAUGUGGGAAUUGUAGUAAAUGCAUAUUUAUUGCAUCUGUGAAUACAAAUGUUUCAAUAAAUUUUUGAACUUUA